rnacentral:lncRNA from 1 species
CAAGUAAUAGCUUUUCUAAAAAGCUUGUCGUAUUUUAGCUGAUUAUAUUGACAAGGACGUAUAACUAAUAUACGUCCUUGAUUGAGAUCAGUGUUUUCGAAGUUCAAAAAUCAAAGAAACAAAUAUGAAAAAAAAAAUUUCUAUCAAAUAUGUCUUACAUGGCCGUUAAAAUCGUAUAAAUUACAAAGUUUUUACAUUUUUAUUAAGGUAAAUGUUUUCUAGAAACAAUGAUUAAUUUGAUUAAAACCUUAUUUAGU